AUUGAACGCUGGCGGAAGGCCUAACACAUGCAAGUCGAGCGAGCGGCGGACGGGUGAGUAAUGCCUGGGAAUUGCCCAGUCGAGGGGGAUAACAGUUGGAAAAGACUGCUAAUACCGCAUAAGGUUGGCUGGCCCAGGUGGGAUUAGCUGGUUGGUUGGGUAAUGGCUCACAAAGGCGACGAUCCCUAGCUGGUCUGACAGGCUGAUAAGCCACACUGUAACGUAACCACAGUCCAUACUCCUACGCGUGUCAGCAGUGGGGACUAUUCCACAAUGGGGGAUACCUUGAUGCAGCCAAGCUGCGUGUGUGAAGACGGCCUUCGGGUUGUAAAGCACUUUCAGCGAUGAGUCGUUACUCGCAGAAGAAGCACCGGCUAACUCCGUGCCAGCAGCCGCGGUAAUAC
rnacentral:rRNA from 1 species